CCUACGGGAGGCAGCAGUGGGGAAUAUUGCAUAAUGGGGGAAACCCUGAUGCAGCGACGCCGCGUGAGUGAAGAAGUAUUUCGGUAUGUAAAGCGCUAUCAGCAGGGAAGAAAAUGACGGUAACUGAUUAAUAAGCCCCGGCUAACUACGUGCCAGCAGCCGCGGUAAUACGUAGGGGGCAAGCGUUAUGCGGAUUGACGGGGGGGAAAGGGAGCGGAGACGGUGAUGCAAGUCAGAAGGGAAAGCCCGGGGCUCAACUCCGGGACUGCUUUGGAAACUGUGUGACUGGAGUGCAGGAGAGGUAAGCGGAAUUCCUGGUGUAGCGGUGAAAUGCGUAGAUAUCAGGAGGAACACCAGUGGCGAAGGCGGCUUACUGGACUGUAACUGACGUUGAGGCUCGAAAGCGUGGGGAGCAAACAGGAUUAGAUACCCUUGUAGUC
rnacentral:rRNA from 1 species